AGUAGAGAGUGGGCUACGGGAGGAGGAGGAGGAGGAGGAGCCUGCGGUGUUCACACAGUAGAGAGUGGGCUACGGGAGAAGUAAGAGGGGGAGGAGCCUGUGGUGUUCACACAGUAGAGAGUGGGCUAUGGGAGGAGGAGGAGGAGGAGGGGCCUGUGGUGUUCACACAGUAGAGAGUGGGCUAUGGGAGGAGGAGGAGGAGGAGGAGGAGCCUGUGGUGUUCACAUAGUAGACGAGUUGGGUUAUGGGUGAGGAGCGAGAAGGGACGGAUGGAGCUGCGGUGUGUCACAUAGUAGAAGCAGUGGGUUAUGGGAGGAGGAGGAGGAGGGGAGGAGGGGACUGUG
rnacentral:lncRNA from 1 species